rnacentral:rRNA from 1 species
AGAAUCAACGCUGGCGGCGUGCCUCAGACAUGCAAGUCGAACGAUUAAACUUUCCUUCGGGAAAGAUAUAAAGUGGCGCACGGGUGAGUAACACGUAGGUAAUGUACCUUUGGGUGGGGAAUAACUUAGGGAAACUUAAGCUAAUACCGCAUAAUGCGAUAACUUCUUCGGAAGAUUUUGUUAAAGAUUUAUCGCCUGAAGAGCAGCCUGCGGCAGAUUAGCUAGUUGGUAAGGUAACGGCUUACCAAGGCUACGAUCUGUAUCCGACCUGAGAGGGUGGUCGGACACACUGACACUGAAUAACGGGUCAGACUCCUACGGGAGGCAGCAGUCGGGAAUUUUGGGCAAUGGGCGAAAGCCUGACCCAGCAACGCCGCGUGAAGGAUGAAGUCUCUCGGGAUGUAAAACUUCGAAAAGAAUAGGAAGAAUAAAUGACGGUACUAUUAUAAGGUCGGCUAACUACGUGCCAGCAGCCGC